UACGUAGGGUGCGAGCGUUGUCCGGAAUUAUUGGGCGUAAAGGGCUCGUAGGCGGUCUGUCGCGUCGGUAGUGAAAACUCAGGGCUUGACCCUGAGCCUGCUUCCGAUACGGGCAGACUAGAGGUAUGCAGGGGAGACUGGAAUUCCUGGUGUAGCGGUGAAAUGCGCAGAUAUCAGGAGGAACACCGGUGGCGAAGGCGGUUCUCUGGGCAUGUCCUGACGCUGAGGAGCGAAAGUGUGGGGAGCGAACAGG
rnacentral:rRNA from 1 species